CAUUAGAUGGCUGAAAAAAGCAUUGAUCUCUUAAAUCAAAUUAUAGUAAUAAACCCUACUUCUAAUGA
rnacentral:tRNA from 1 species